CCCCCUCCCUCAAUGGCAUCCAAAACAAAAAUAUGUAACCCUAAAUCUAUUAUCUAUAUAUAUCCUUAGCCCUCCGUAAUAUCCCCUCCAAGACCUGCUCGUACCAUUUCGUUUUCCGCCGCCGGCCCGCGUCUGCUCCCAAGCUAGAUUCCGCCGGCGAUGGCGUUCGAGUGAGUGUUCGUGUUUGUGUUUCCUGUGGCUGUUGGUGCUUCGUCUGUGCUUCUUGUCGCCGUCGAUAACCGCCAAUAUGGAUAAGGCUCUAAGCCGUAUCUGCCAUGCGCAUCAAUUGAUAGCUCUUUCAACCUGACGAGACAAACAGUCCAGAGGCUUGUUGUCCUUGCACACGUCUCUUGUGUAAGUCAGGGAUAUCAGUGUCAUUAUUUUUGGGGUUUAGGGUUUAGGGAGCGCCCGGUCCCUGCUCGUGCAGCGACGAUGGUGCGUUCCAUCCUCGCCCCCUCGUGCGAUCAGCUCAGGUCAACGAUUGGCCUGAGCGUGUCUGUCUCUCAGGGUUCAGGAUUCAGGGUUAGAAUUAAUUGGUCAAGCCCAGCGGUGAGGGGCUGGGGACCGCCCGAGCAAUAGUCUGGGCUUCACUGUUACUGUGCAUCCUAAAACCCUAGAACAAAAGAAAAAUAGUUCUAUCUAUGUUGUCACCGCUGGAACAACCAGCAGCCAACGUUCUCCCCUCCCCUCCUAUCUCAUCUUCCUCCUCUCUGUCCGGGUUUAGAUUUCAUGCACUCCUGUAAUUUGACAUAUGGUUCUAACGAAUUUAUGUAUGUGAAGCCCCCUAGAGUAGCCGCAUGAAGUGCUUUAUGCCAGUUUCGUCACCGGCUUAGUUUGGGGGGCGAUAGUAAUACUUCAGAUCUCUUUUUUUCUUUGGAUUGGGACCUGAAAGCUGAGGCCAUUUGAGCGUGCGGACUGUAGUCCGUGUCCGUCUGCCAAGCAGCCUUAACACACUCAACUGAGCAGCUUGUUUGCUUCGUUUUUGUUGUUGUAGUUGUGAUUUGAGCGUUUGCUGAGGCCCUUGAAUAGCUUAACGUGCUUUCCCUAGGGUUGUCGUUCAGCUCAGAUGGGGCCGCAUAACAAACUGAAUCUAUUUGAGGGUGAGGGACGCCAUCUUUGAUGCAAUGUUUCUUUCUUAGUUUGAUUCAUAUAAAACAUUCUUUAUAAUUGAGUUAUGGGGUGGUGCAAGUUAGACUUGCUAGUUAAGCUGUUCCUUUGAUUUACAAUGAUAAGACACUUAAUCAGACCAACUAUAUUGGUGUUUUCACUGUCGAUAAUCUGACCAGGUGGGGUGUUCUUUUGUUACAGCCCACACUUCUGUAUCGAUCCGACACUUUCUUUUCUUGAGUUUAUUAUGCUUUAUGUAAGCAGAUUUGUUGAAAUUCAUGUAUGAUGAAGUUUUAGACAAUAUGGUCUGAAAUGCUUUUAUCAUAUAGUCAUGAAGUCACCUUAUGAUUUUGAUUACUUGUAGCUUAGGAUGUUUAAUUCGGCUUUCUCAUGCUAUUUUAUUUUAUGUUUUUGUGAGGAAAUUUUGUUUAUGCUGCGAUCAUUGUUGUGUCGGGCAAAUGAUGAUCACUAUGAAAUUGAGCUUAUUAUUCCGUGAAGCUUCAAAAUUCGAGCUUUUUAAAGCUGAUGCCCUUCAUGUUUUUUAUAUUUAUGUCUGUUUGAAACGUUGGUGCUAUUUACAUGGCUUUUAUUUUAUUUUUUUAAUAUUUACAUAGUAUCUGCCAUGCACAUCAAUUGAUAGCUCUUUCAACCUGACGAGACAAACAGUCCAGAGGCUUGUUGUCUGUGCACACACUCUUGUGUAAGUCGGGGAUAUCAGUGUCAUUAUUUUUGGCCGGAAUGUCUGGUUUUGGAUGACUUCUAUCUUUGGUUCAUUCGUCUGGCGAAAAUUAUAGAAUAUACGUGAAAGAUCUUGGAGGCGGGGUGAAGUUAAAGUAGCUGUCUCUGGUGUUCUUGAUCAAAGCAAAAUAGAUAGACAUUGGUCCCCAUUGACCUAAAAAAGGACUCAAUUUCGGAAGUUUCAUGCUAACUGCAGCAUCUGCGGCAUCAACUGAAGUGCUGCAUGAUGCCCAUAUCGCUCCCGCGGGAGACCAUUGCCGAUCUUUUAUUAAAGGGAGCUCCUCCUUUGAGCCUGUAAUAACCACCAAGUGCUCUUCUACUCGUAGAACUUUUGGCGCCAGGCGAUCGACAAGUUUAUUUUCCCUACCAGCUGUGGAAAUGCACAUGUUUUAGGUGUCGAAAUCCUUGCUGAGAUUGAAAAUGAAAAGGUUGAGUUGUAAAUUAGGAUGCACGUUGAUUCAUUAAUGAAGAAGAAUUUUUAUGGAAUCAGGGAACUUGUAGAUCCGAAAGUGCGUACUGGGUAAACUUCGGCUGAACUUGAUACUAGGCGAAUCAUAUGUGGCAGGUGAAUUUAUAGGCGAAGACAUGACUUCACAAUUACAAGUUCACUUCCCACACGAUCGGCUCAUUCUAUUAUGGGACCAUUGAAGAUUGUUUAUUGCUUUUAUAAGUGAUGUACUAAAAUUGUGUUGGAUUUCUUGCCUUGGGGCCACGGUGGCUUUACUGAAUGGGUACUAUUCAUGCACGCACAUGUGUUCUAGUUGAGCUUAUGUAAUAAAUAUUGCACACACACCUAGUAAUAGACACUGUUUAGUAGCUAUUUUUUUUUUUUUUUAG